CUAGUUCAACGGUUGUCCUUCCUUGGACCACUUUUGGUAGGUACUAACCACUGCAUACCGGGAACACCCCAC